rnacentral:rRNA from 1 species
UACGGAGGGGGCUAGCGUUGUUCGGAAUUACUGGGCGUAAAGCGCGCGUAGGCGGCUUUGUAAGUUAGAGGUGAAAGCCCGGGGCUCAACUCCGGAAUUGCCUUUAAGACUGCAUCGCUAGAAUUGUGGAGAGGUAAGUGGAAUUCCCGAGUGUAGAGGUGAAAUUCGUAGAUAUUCGGAAGAACACCAGUGGCGAAGGCGACUUACUGGACACAUAUUGACGCUGAGGUGCGAAAGCGUGGGGAGCAAACAGG